CCCUCCAAGGUAUUUUAUUAAUAUGUCAAAAACUAUCUUCAUACAAUAUACUAGAUAAUGCAUAUACAGCAUGAUCCUCAACCCUAAUUAAGGCAUUAAAUCAAAUACAAAAUCAUGCUUAAAAUAGAACCCAAUAAUAAAAAAUACAUGCUAGAAUCAUUCCAAUAGCAAAUGUAAAAACAACUAAAAUUUGAUAUUAUCUCUAAUAAAAAACUUAUAGACA
rnacentral:lncRNA from 1 species